GCUUGUACUGCUAAUACUUCAGCAUGGGCUCUUGAGCCAGUAACCACUGUACUGGACUUCAAGAAAAUCCUUGUUGAAGUUUGGACAUUAGCAGGACUCUGGUAUGGUUCUUAACUGUUUAUGUUGUGUUUCUGAGAUGUUUCAUGGGGCAGAUUGACUAUAUGUUUGUAGGUUAUCUUCCUAAAACCCUCAGUACAAGUUCUGGCUUACAAAAUGGACACAAAUCUUCAAAACAAGUUUACAUUUCAUAUGGCAUUGAUAAUCUUCAGUGAGAUUUAAUGUUCACUUAAAAAAUCUCUACUGCUGAUGGUAAGAAAUUUGCUUGUUGAAUUAAGUAUCUGGGAUUAUUCUUUAAAAAUUGACAGUCUCAUAAUUUUCUUAAAGAAUAACAUAUUUUGUGUUAUUCUUAAGGUGUGCCAACUAAACAUGUGUAAGGUAUACAAAUACAAAUGAAAAGUCCAUAUAAGAAAAAAGUAGGCUUAACUAAUACUAUAGUUUUCUAAAGGGAGAGUAUUAUCUAACUGAGGGAGAAGUAAUUGAACUGUUUAAUUAUGAAUGAAAAGUUUUAUGUCUUUAUUAGAGAUUCCUUAGGUGAAUACCUGUUGUGUUUUGUUUUCAUCUCAAACCAUUGACUGCCAUUUGUCUGGGGCAAGGGAAGAAACAAUCUUCGCUCUCUAGAGAAAGACAUUCAGUGUUUUAUUCUUCUGAGAAACUGUAAAUUAUACUUGUAUGGCUAUAGCUGAGUUCUUUUUAGUUGCUUAGAUUUUUUUUCCCCAGUGUUUUGUGGCCAUUAUAGUUAACUGUUUUAUUUCCCAUCUACCAGGUUGAGCAUCCUUAAUCCAAAAUCCAAUGUCUGGGUCAGGCAUAGUGGCGUAUGCAUUUAGUCCUAGUACUUAGGAGGUAGAGGCAACCAGAUCUGUUUGAGAUCAAGGCCAGUCUGGUCUACAGAGUGAGUUCCAGGCCAGCCAGAGCAAUAUAAUCAGACCCUGUCUCGAAAAACAAAACAAAAUAAAACAAAACAAUAACAACAACAACAAUAAUAAAAUCCAGUAUCUGAAAUGCUCCAGAAUCCAAAAUUUUAAACUGACAGCGUGACACAAUUGGAAAAUUUCACUCUUUAUAUGAUAGGUCACAGGUAAAUUUCAGAGACACUGUAAAUAGUGUAUAAAACUACUUGAAACUAAUGAAUACAGUGUAUGAAAUAAGUACACUCCGUAUUUAGACCCGGAUGUGUAUAUGCAAAAUCUGAAAACAGAAUCUAAACUCUGAAACAUUACUGUUGGUUCCAAGCAUUUUGGAUAGUGAUACUCAACCUGUAAAUACUUUUCUAAUGUUUUUAAGUUUGGUAAAUCUUUAAAUAUAAACAGAAUCACU
rnacentral:lncRNA from 1 species